rnacentral:rRNA from 1 species
GUAGGGUGCAAGCGUUAAUCGGAAUUACUGGGCGUAAAGCGUACGCAGGCGGCUAUGCAAGACAGGUGCGAAAUCCCCGGGCUCAACCUGGGAACUGCACUUGUGACUGCAUGGCUAGAGUACCGUAAGAGGGGGGUGGAAUUCCACGUGUAGCAGUGAAAUGCGUAGAGAUGUGGAGGAACACCGAUGGCGAAGGCAGCCCCCUGGGAUGAGACUGACGCUCAUGUACGAAAGCGUGGGGAGCAAACAGGAUUAGAUACCCGGGUAGUCCACGCCGUAAACGAUGAGUACUAGUUGUCGGGGGUAUCGACCCCCUGGUAACGAAGCUAACGCGAUAAGUACUCCGCCGCCUGGGGCUACGACCACAAGGUUA